UGUGAUUGAAAUUAUAAGUGUUAAAUUUUAGAUACACACAAGGAGAAAGCCACACUGAUACCUAUCAAGCAAACAGAGAUAUUGCGCUCUAUCUGCUUAAAGAUAUACAUCUCACUCUAAUAUCCUAUAAUG